GCCAUAGCUCAAUGGUAGAGCAUCUGCUUUGCAUGCAGAAGGUCCCAGGCUCAGUGUCUGGCACCUUCAACA